CCUUAGAUGUUCUGGUCCGCACGCGCGCUACACUGACGGAGCCAGCGAGUACUUCCUUGUCCGAAAGGUCCGGGUAAUCUUGUUAAACUCCGUCGUGUCUGGGGAUAGAGCAUUGCAAUUAUUGCUCUUCAAGCGAGGAAUCCUAGUAAGCGCAAGUCAUCAGCUUGCGUUGAUUACGUCCCUGCCCUUUGUACACACCGCCCGUCGCUACUACCGAUUGAAUGGCUCAGUGAGGCGUCCGGACUGGCCCAGAGAGGUGGGCAACUACCACUCAGGGCCGGAAAGCUCUCCAAACUCGGUCAUUUAGAGGAAGUAAAAGUCGUAACAAGGUCUCCGUUGGUGAACCAGCGGAGGGAUCAUUACCGAGUUUACAACUCCCAAACCCCUGUGAACAUACCUUAAUGUUGCCUCGGCGGAUCAGCCCGCGCCCCGUAAAACGGGACGGCCCGCCAGAGGACCCAAACUCUAAUGUUUCUUAUUGUAACUUCUGAGUAAAACAAACAAAUAAAUCAAAACUUUCAACAACGGAUCUCUUGGUUCUGGCAUCGAUGAAGAACGCAGCAAAAUGCGAUAAGUAAUGUGAAUUGCAGAAUUCAGUGAAUCAUCGAAUCUUUGAACGCACAUUGCGCCCGCUGGUAUUCCGGCGGGCAUGCCUGUUCGAGCGUCAUUUCAACCCUCAAGCCCUCGGGUUUGGUGUUGGGGAUCGGCUCUGCCUUCUGGCGGUGCCGCCCCCGAAAUACAUUGGCGGUCUCGCUGCAGCCUCCAUUGCGUAGUAGCUAACACCUCGCAACUGGAACGCGGCGCGGCCAUGCCGUAAACCCCAACUUCUGAAUGUUGACCUCGGAUCAGGUAGGAAU
rnacentral:rRNA from 1 species